GUUUCAUUAUCGAUAAAUCUAAGGUUAACAACGAUUAGCUAAUGAGUGUCCAAUUCCAAAUUGCCCACGUGGAAAACCUCAGGUCAAAUAUACAUUGACGCAAAGAACAGAAAGGGGGCUGAAUUCUCUGCGUUCAGCUUAUGUUUGGUCGCCAGCAUGGACAUAGGAACAGAUUGGGUAUUUAAUUAUUGAAUUAGGAUUCCCAAUUGGAUAUAUGCCGAUGAUCUUAUGUGUUCAUUGAGCGAAAAUCAUGAAAUUUGCGCCGGUGGGCUUGAGCAAUGCUUGUGCAAAAAUUCCUAACUUCUAAAUUAUUGUAAGAUAUUUUACACGUUCAGCUCUGAGGUGAUUACACUGGAGGGGCAAAAUGUCAUCUUUACCAAGAAGGCCCACUUUUUUGUAACUAUUACUUCGGAUUUUUGUUCGUUUAUAGAAGUUCCAUAAUCUUCGACAGUCCUCAACGACCAGCGUCAGAUUUCCAAGCCCAUCAAGUUAAUUGACCUACGCUU
rnacentral:lncRNA from 1 species